AGUAGGUCUUUGAAUAGGAAAAGGGCGGCUUGGCAGUACCACAGACUCUUGACAGUGUCUCUUUUUGCUUUUCCAGACUCCUCUGCUCCCUUGUCACAGAGAAGACCCUCAAAGGGCUGGCAUGCCCUUUUCUAAGAGGCUCUAACCUCUGACUGGAGUUCCUGAAAUAAUUGUCCACUAUGAAGCUCUGUUGAUCAAGUAUCAAAUAUUCGCCAGCCCGUGAACAUAUCAUGGAAUAUCACUGCCCUCUGAGAGACAAGACAACGUCUCUGAUUUGGGGGAAAUUGCAGAAUGGAGCAAACCUGGAAUUGGAGCCAGGCAAUUGCAAAAAUGAUUCCAGAUCUGCAUGGUAACAAUUUAG
rnacentral:lncRNA from 1 species